GCCUCUGGUCUAGUGGUUAAGGCACCAGGCUAGAAACCAGGAGUGUGAGUUCUAGUCUCACUUUAGGCA
rnacentral:tRNA from 1 species